GACGAACGCUGGCGGCGUGCUUAACACAUGCAAGUCGAACGGAAAGGCCCUGCUUUUGUGGUGUGCUCGAGUGGCGAACGGGUGAGUAACACGUGAGUAACCUGCCCUUGACUUUGGGAUAACUUCAGGAAACUGGGGCUAAUACCGGAUAGGAGCUCCUGCUGCAUGGUGGGGGUUGGAAAGUUUCGGCGGUUGGGGAUGGACUCGCGGCUUAUCAGCUUGUUGGUGGGGUAGUGGCUUACCAAGGCUUUGACGGGUAGCCGGCCUGAGAGGGUGACCGGCCACAUUGGGACUGAGAUACGGCCCAGACUCCUACGGGAGGCAGCAGUGGGGAAUAUUGCACAAUGGGCGGAAGCCUGAUGCAGCAACGCCGCGUGCGGGAUGACGGCCUUCGGGUUGUAACCCGCUUUCGCCUGUGACGAAGCGUGAGUGACGGUAAUGGGUAAAGAAGCACCGGCUAACUACGUG
rnacentral:rRNA from 1 species